UGGGGAAUAUUGCACAAUGGGCGAAAGCCUGAUGCAGCAACGCCGCGUGAGGGACGACGGCCUUCGGGUUGUAAACCUCUUUUAGCAAGGAAGAAGCGAUAGUGACGGUACUUGCAGAAAAAGCGCCGGCUAACUACGUGCCAGCAGCCGCGGUAAUACGUAGGGCGCAAGCGUUAUCCGGAAUUAUUGGGCGUAAAGAGCUCGUAGGCGGUUUGUCGCGUCUGCUGUGAAAACCCGAGGCUCAACCUCGGGCCUGCAGUGGGUACGGGCAGACUAGAGUGCGGUAGGGGAGAUUGGAACUCCUGGUGUAGCGGUGGAAUGCGCAGAUAUCAGGAAGAACACCGAUGGCGAAGGCAGAUCUCUGGGCCGUAACUGACGCUGAGGAGCGAAAGGGUGGGGAGCAAACAGGCUUAGAUACCCUGGUAGUCCACCCCGUAAACGUUGGGAACUAGUUGUGGGGUCCAUUCCACGGAUUCCGUGACGCAGCUAACGCAUUAAGUUCCCCGCCUGGGGAGUACGGCCGCAAGGCUAAAACUGCAAAUGAAUUGACGGGGUCAUAGCUGUUUCCU
rnacentral:rRNA from 1 species